rnacentral:piRNA from 1 species
UAGUGAUGUCAGGUUUCGACAAGUGUUU